rnacentral:rRNA from 1 species
CCUAUGGGUGGCAGCAGUGAGGAAUAUUGGUCAAUGGGCGGGAGCCUGAACCAGCCAUGCCGCGUGAAGGCGAGUGCCCUACGGGCGUUAAACUUCUUUUGUGCGGGAGCAAUAAGGGCCACGCGUGGCCCGAUGAGAGUACCGCACGAAUAAGCAUCGGCUAACUCCGUGCCAGCAGCCGCGGUAAUACGGAGGAUGCGAGCGUUAUCCGGAUUUAUUGGGUUUAAAGGGUGCGUAGGCGGUCCGUUAAGUCAGCGGUAAAAUUGCGGGGCUCAACCCCGUCGAGCCGUUGAAACUGGCAGACUUGAGUUGGCGAGAAGUACGCGGAAUGCGCGGUGUAGCGGUGAAAUGCAUAGAUAUCGCGCAGAACUCCGAUUGCGAAGGCAGCGUACCGGCGCCAGACUGACGCUGAGGCACGAAAGCGUGGGGAUCGAACAGGAUUAGAUACCCGUGUAGUC